GACGAACGCUGGCGGCGUGCUUAACACAUGCAAGUCGAGCGGUAAGGCCUUUCGGGGUACACGAGCGGCGAACGGGUGAGUAACACGUGGGUGACCUGCCUUUAGCUUCGGGAUAAGCCUGGGAAACUGGGUCUAAUACCGGAUAUGACCUCAUGUCGCAUGGUGUGGGGUGGAAAGUUUUUCGGCUAGAGAUGGGCCCGCGGCCUAUCAGCUUGUUGGUGGGGUGAUGGCCUACCAAGGCGACGACGGGUAGCCGGCCUGAGAGGGCGACCGGCCACACUGGGACUGAGAUACGGCCCAGACUCCUACGGGAGGCAGCAGUGGGGAAUAUUGCGCAAUGGGCGGAAGCCUGACGCAGCGACGCCGCGU
rnacentral:rRNA from 1 species